rnacentral:rRNA from 1 species
CCAGACAGCCAGGAUGUUGGCUUAGAAGCAGCCAUCAUUUAAAGAAAGCGUAAUAGCUCACUGGUCGAGUCGGCCUGCGCGGAAGAUGUAACGGGGCUAAAUCAUGCACCGAAGCUGCGGCAGCGACACUCAGGUGUUGUUGGGUAGGGGAGCGUUCUGUAAGCCUGUGAAGGUGUGUCGUGAGGCAUGCUGGAGGUAUCAGAAGUGCGAAUGCUGACAUAAGUAACGAUAAAGCGGGUGAAAAGCCCGCUCGCCGGAAGACCAAGGGUUCCUGUCCAACGUUAAUCGGGGCAGGGUGAGUCGACCCCUAAGGC